GACGAACGCUGGCGGCGUGCUUAACACAUGCAAGUCGAACGGAAAGGCCCUGCUUUUGUGGGGUGCUCGAGUGGCGAACGGGUGAGUAACACGUGAGUAACCUGCCCUUGACUUUGGGAUAACUUCAUGAAACUGGUGCUAAUACCGGAUAGGAGCUCCUGCUGCAUGGUGGGGGUUGGAAAGUUUCGGCGGUUGGGGAUGGACUCGCGGCUUAUCAGCUUGUUGGUGGGGUAGUGGCUUACCAAGGCUUUGACGGGUAGCCGGCCUGAGAGGGUGACCGGCCACAUUGGGACUGAGAUACGGCCCAGACUCCUACGGGAGGCAGCAGUGGGGAAUAUUGCACAAUGGGCGGAAGCCUGAUGCAGCAACGCCGCGUGCGGGAUGACGGCCUUCGGGUUGUAAACCGCUUUCGCCUGUGACGAAGCGUGAGUGACGGUAAUGGGUAAAGAAGCACCGGCUAACUACGUG
rnacentral:rRNA from 1 species